GUGUAGCGCAGCUUGGCUAGCGCGCUUGAAUGGGGUUCAAGAGGUCGUGGGUUCAAAUCCCGCCACCCCGACCA
rnacentral:tRNA from 1 species